GGCCGGCGGUAAAUUCCACCGGUAAAAAACCCUAGCCGCCGCAUGUUCUCGCUCCUUUCAUCUCACCGCCGGCCGCCGCUCCUCCUGGCCUCCACUCACCGAGCUCGCUCUGCCGCCGCCCUUGGCCUCUCCCUCUCCUUCCUCCGCGAUCAACAGGAAGCAUUUCCCUCAUCGGCGCCCAAAAGGAGGGGCGCAUGCCGCUGCCGCAUUCCGCCUCCCCUUCCGCUCAGCGCUCGAGGGCUGCAGGUCGUCGUCGCGCUCAACGGGCGGAGCUCGUGCCGCUGCUGCGCUCCGCCUCUCCCACCCACCUCGUCCGCGCUCGUCAGGAGGAGCACGGGUCGCCGCCGCACUGCACGAGAGGACGCCGAGCCUAGCGUAUGCCGCCCACCCCUUUCUUCUCCGCGAGCCGGAGCAGGGCGUCGACACUGGCGACCUCACUGUCCCCAGGGAUACUCAGUGGUGUGGGGAGGUGGCAUGAUGCUGUUGGAAGUAGUGGUGUGGUUUAGAAGGCCUUCUCAAUGUGUGCUUCGCCCAAGCUAAAAAGCACGGACACGGUAAUGUAUGGAGUUUCUGCCGCUGCCGCUUGGACUCGACCGCCGCCGUCUCCCAAGUGCAGCAGCCUCUCCUCGCGAUGGCAACCACACUCGAGUAGGGAACAUGGUAUGUGAGAUUGGCUUAUGUUCAGAAAGUUACUACUGCAUCCCCUAGACCCCUACUGCUUCGACUGGUAGCCAUGGAGGAAACACCAAAUUUGUUUGCAGCAGACUACAACAAAUGGUGCAAUAUUCUGUUCUCUUUCUCAUUAUUGUUUUUGUCUUUAAUUCUAUGUUACAUGGCAUAUUUUUAUAUGUACUUGCCGUGUCCCCGAUUGGCUUUUUUUGGAAACUGCCGUAUCCCGUGUCCCUGUAUGCGUGUCGGCGCAUCCAAAUCGCCAUAUCCGUGCUUCUUAGCAUUAAGGUUGUAUGCUACAUUUCUUCAAUAUUUUAUUUCUUA